rnacentral:rRNA from 1 species
AACGAACGCUGGCGGCAGGCUUAACACAUGCAAGUCGAACGCCCCGCAAGGGGAGUGGCAGACGGGUGAGUGACGCGUGGGAACGUGCCCUUCGCUUCGGAAUAGUCCCGGGAAACUGGGUUUAAUACCGGAUACGCCGUAUUUGGAAAGAUUUAUCGGCGAAGGAUCGGCCCGCGUUAGAUUAGGUAGUUGGCGGUGUAAUGGACCACCAAGCCUACGAUCUAUAGCUGGUCUGAGAGGAUGAUCAGCCACACUGGGACUGAGACACGGCCCAGACUCCUACGGGAGGCAGCAGUGGGGAAUCUUGGACAAUGGGCGAAAGCCUGAUCCAGCCAUGCCGCGUGAGUGAAGAAGGCCUUAGGGUUGUAAAACUCUUUCGCCGGAGAAGAUAAUGACGGUAUCCGGAGAAGAAGCCCCGGCUAACUUCGUGCCAGCAGCCGCAGUAA